CCACCCUCCCGCCCCCCCCCCGCUUAAAUAUAACAGCCCUUAAAGAUACCCUACAUCCUUCAAGUGUUGGGUUAGUAUUUUUUUUUUCUUUUGUGGUUUAAGUUGUUUAGUGGUGUUUUUUUUAAUUGUUUCGUUUAUUAAUAGUUUUCUUUGGUGGUUUUUUUCGCUUUUAUUGAUAUAUUUAGUUGUUAUUUUCUCCUUUAUAUUAUUUUCCAUUAUUUUUUGUUUGAGUUUUUCUUGUGUGGUUUAAGUUGUUGAGUGAUGUUUUUUAAUUGGUUCGUUUAUUGUGAGUUUUCUUUGGUGUUUUCUCGUUUUUAUUGAUUUAUUUAGUUGUUAUUUUCUCCUUUAUAUUAUUUUCCAUUAUUUUUUGUUUGAGUUUUUCUUGUGUGGUUUAAGUUGUUUUGUGGUGUUUUUUAAUUGGUUCGUUUAUUGUGAGUUUUCUUUGGUGUUUUCUCGUUUUCAUUUAUUUAUUUUAUUUAUAUUCUCCUUUUUUAUCGUUUUCCAUUACUUUUCGUUUCUUUUACUCUUUUUUUCUCUGCUCUUUGUUUCGGCCUCUUUCUAUUUUUUCCGGUUUUAUUUUUUCUCAUCUUUUUUUCUUGAUUCUACCUUUUGUCUCACCGGCCAGAUUCAACCUCCUUAUCAUCCACUAAUCACAUGCAGACAGGGCUGGAAGAGGGGCGUGCGUGGCGUACUCGCUCACCUGGAUUCGCUAAUGAUGAAUACUUAAUUGACAAGGAGGGAGACAUUUGCUGAUGAUAUUUGCAUAGUAUAUCUGUACCGCGAAUAGUCAGCUCCUUCAUAUGCUUUUUUUUCUUAUAGCAGAGGAGACAGUUCAAGGGCGUAAAAAAAAAGAAAAUAAUGAAAAAAAAAGCCCGCUACUUAUUGCUCCUAAGUCCUACCGCUGCAGAGAAUAUAUAAUCGCCUUCACACGGGCAGUACAUAAAGGAAACUCCGGUGUGUGAAAUAAGGAAGGAUAAGGAAAAGAUAAAUGGAGAAAUAAAAGAGAAGAAAAAAAAUAGAGUAGAGAAAGGAUGGGACAUGGAAGACGAGGAUAAGUGUGGUAUGAGAUGAUAGGUAUUUGUGUAGAUUUUGUUGACUAGUAUUUCUUUAUCUAUCUCUUGUAUUUAUUUAUUUUUGUUUGUUUCAGCCUCUCUGGAGCGAUGUGGAGGUCCUGCCAAGGCUGCCAUAAAAGGCAGCGGCGGCGUCAGGUGGAGUCAAUCAGCACGUCACCCGAUCCGACAGUGAUCAAGGACAGGUGUGCGACGCGGAUGCCACAGACCCCAGCGACCUUUCCCCCCUUCAACGCCCUCACAGCCUCCCUCACCCCCGCAGAAGAGAGGGUGGGGUUGCGUCUAUUGGUGGAUCAGAAGUAAGGGGUCUGUCUGGAUUAGUAAAGGGGCUGUUACAAUGGGCAAAUUUUCCGUGGAUCUAAGACAAACCACGA